rnacentral:rRNA from 1 species
AUGCAUUGGUUCGCCUGGUGGAAGGUGUGCAUACCAAAGAAAAGAGGAGGUAUGGGAUUCAGAGAUAUACCAUGUUUCAAUCUAGCAAUGCUUGCCAAACAGGUAUGGAGGAUGUUAUGCGAGCCAGACUCCCUUUGUACAAGGGUACUGAAGGUGAGGUAUUUCCCUUCUGGCGAUCUUCUCGGUGCUGAAUUGAAAAAGGGUUCUUCGUAUACUUGGCAAAGCAUACAUGCGGGUAUCCAAUGUUUUAAGAAAGGAUACAUUUGGCGGGUGGGAGAUGGUACAAAUAUCGAUAUUUGGGAUGACCCGUCGAUCCCAAAUAGCCCAUCAAGGAAGAUCUUGACUGAACGAAGGAAUAUUGUGCUGACGUCGGUCUCAUAA